ensembl:lncRNA
UGCCCAUGUAGUACAUUAGGUACACCAUGUCCUGUAGGUUUCUGAAUUAUUCCAAAUAAAAAGACGGCAAUUCCACACUCCUUGUUCUCUCUUUUCUCCCUGUGUUUAUACGGUUUAGAAAAUCGAGAUACUAUGAAAAACAAAGUACAGGUACAGGUUUAACAGUAGUCACCAUCUCAAACAGGUUUAACAGUCAUCACAAUCUCAAACAGGUUUAACAGUCAUCACAAUCUAAAACAGGUUUAACAGUUAUCACAAUCUAAAACAGGUUUAACAGUCAUCACAAUCUCAAACAGGUUUAACAGUCAUCACAAUCUUAAACAGGUUUAACAAUCAUCACAAUCUCAAACAGGUUUAACAAUCAUCACAAUCUCAAACAGGUUUAACAAUCAUCACAAUCUUAAACAGGUUUAACAAUCAUCACAAUCUCAAAACAGACAGCAGGAGGACAUUGAC